GCAUCGAUGAAGAACGCAGCGAAAUGCGAUAAGUAGUGUGAAUUGCAGAAUUCAGUGAAUCAUCGAAUCUUUGAACGCACAUUGCGCCCCUUGGUAUUCCAUGGGGCAUGCCUGUUCGAGCGUCAUUUGUACCUUCAAGCUCUGCUUGGUGUUGGGUG
rnacentral:rRNA from 1 species